GAUGAACGCUGGCGGCGUGCCUAAUACAUGCAAGUCGAGCGAACAGACGAGGAGCUUGCUCCCCUGACGUUAGCGGCGGACGGGUGAGUAACACGUGGAUAACCUACCUAUAAGACUGGGAUAACUUCGGGAAACCGGAGCUAAUACCGGAUAAUAUAUUGAACCGCAUGGUUCAAUAGUGAAGGACGGUUUUGCUGUCACUUAUAGAUGGAUCCGCGCCGCAUUAGCUAGUUGGUAAGGUAACGGCUUACCAAGGCAACGAUGCGUAGCCGACCUGAGAGGGUGAUCGGCCACACUGGAACUGAGACACGGUCCAGACUCCUACGGGAGGCAGCAGUAGGGAAUCUUCCGCAAUGGGCGAAAGCUUGACGGAGCAACGCCGCGUGAGUGAUGAAGGUCUUCGGAUCGUAAAACUCUGUUAUUAGGGAAGAACAAAUGUGUAAGUAACUAUGCACGUCUUGACGGUACCUAAUCAGAAAGCCACGGCUAACUACGUG
rnacentral:rRNA from 1 species